GAAUGCUGACAUAAGUAACGAUAAAGCGGGUGAAAAGCCCGCUCGCCGGAAGACCAAGGGUUCCUGUCCAACGUUAAUCGGGGCAGGGUGAGUCGACCCCUAAGGCGAGGCCGAAAGGCGUAGUCGAUGGGAAACGGGUUAAUAUUCCCGUACUUGGUGUUACUGCGAAGGGGGGACGGAGAAGGCUAUGUUGGCCGGGCGACGGUUGUCCCGGUUUAAGCGUGUAGGUGUGUGUUCCAGGUAAAUCCGGUUCACUUUAACACUGAGGCGUGACGACGAGGCACUACGGUGCUGAAGCAACAAAUGCCCUGCUUCCAGGAAAAGCCUCUAAGCAUCAGGUAACAUCAAAUCGUACCCCAAACCGACACAGGUGGUCAGGUAGAGAAUACCAAGGCGCUUGAGAGAACUCGGGUGAAGGAACUAGGCAAAAUGGUGCCGUAACUUCGGGAGAAGGCACGCUGACACGUAGGUGAAGUGAUUUACUCAUGGAGCUGAAGUCAGUCGAAGAUACCAGCUGGCUGCAACUGUUUAUUAAAAACACAGCACUGUGCAAACACGAAAGUGGACGUAUACGGUGUGACGCCUGCCCGGUG
rnacentral:rRNA from 3 species